rnacentral:rRNA from 1 species
UAAAAAAAGGUAAGCUACUAAGAGCGAAUGGUGGAUGCCUUGACUGGUAAAGGCGAUGAAGGACGUACUAGACUGCGAUAAGCUACGGGGAGCUGUCAAGAAGCUUUGAUCCGUAGAUUUCCGAAUGGGGCAACCCAAUGUAUAGAGAUAUACAUUACCUAUAUAGGAGCGAACGAGGGGAAUUGAAACAUCUUAGUACCCUCAGGAAAAGAAAUCAAUAGAGAUUGCGUCAGUAGCGGCGAGCGAAAGCGCAAGAGGGCAAACCCAGUGCUUGCACUGGGGGUUGUAGGACUGCAAUGUGCAAGAGCUGAGUUUAGCAGAACAUUCUGGAAAGUAUAGCCAUAGAGGGUGAUAGUCCCGUAUGCGAAAAACAAAGCUUAGCUAGCAGUAUCCUGAGUAGGGCGGGACACGAGGAAUCCUGUCUGAAUCCGGGUCGACCACGAUCCAACCCUAAAUACUAAUACCAGAUCGAUAGUGCACAAGUACCGUGAGGGAAAGGUGAAAAGAACUGAGGUGAUCAGAGUGAAAUAGAACCUGAAACCAUUUGCUUACAAUCAUUCAGAGCACUAUGUAGCAAUACAGUGUGAUGGACUGCCUUUUGCAUAAUGAGCCUGCGAGUUGUGGUGUCUGGCAAGGUUAAGCAAACGCGAAGCCGUAGCGAAAGCGAGUCUGAAUAGGGCGCUUAGUCAGAUGCUGCAGACCCGAAACGAAGUGAUCUAUCCAUGAGCAAGUUGAAGCUAGUGUAAGAACUAGUGGAGGACUGAACCCAUAGGCGUUGAAAAGCCCCGGGAUGACUUGUGGAUAGGGGUGAAAGGCCAAUCAAACUUCGUGAUAGCUGGUUCUCUCCGAAAUAUAUUUAGGUAUAGCGUUGUGUCGUAAUAUAAGGGGGUAGAGCACUGAAUGGGCUAGGGCAUACACCAAUGUACCAAACCCUAUCAAACUCCGAAUACCUUAUAUGUAAUCACAGCAGUCAGGCGGCGAGUGAUAAAAUCCGUCGUCAAGAGGGAAACAACCCAGACUACCAGCUAAGGUCCCUAAAUCUUACUUAAGUGGAAAACGAUGUGAAGUUACUUAAACAACCAGGAGGUUGGCUUAGAAGCAGCCAUCCUUUAAAGAAAGCGUAAUAGCUCACUGGUCUAGUGAUUUUGCGCGGAAAAUAUAACGGGGCUAAAGUAAGUACCGAAGCUGUAGACUUGCACACAACUUAGAUUAUUUAAGUUUAGAAUAUGAGAAACUAAGUUAUAUGUUUAGUUAUAUUUUUACUGAUUUUUAUAGAGUAAAGAUAGAAAUAAAACUUAGUAAAAUCAGUAAAAAUAUUCUUAGGCUAAAGUUAAGUAGUUUAAGUUGUGUGCAAGUGGUAGGAGAGCGUUCUAUUUGCGUCGAAGGUAUACCGGUAAGGAGUGCUGGAGCGAAUAGAAGUGAGCAUGCAGGCAUGAGUAGCGAUAAUUAAUGUGAGAAUCAUUAACGCCGUAAACCCAAGGUUUCCUACGCGAUGCUCGUCAUCGUAGGGUUAGUCGGGUCCUAAGUCGAGUCCGAAAGGGGUAGACGAUGGCAAAUUGGUUAAUAUUCCAAUACCAACAUUAGUGUGCGAUGGAAGGACGCUUAGGGCUAAGGGGGCUAGCGGAUGGAAGUGCUAGUCUAAGGUUGUAGGAGGUUAUACAGGCAAAUCCGUAUAACAAUACUCCGAGAACUGAAAGGCUUUUUGAAGUCUUCGGAUGGAUAGAAGAACCCCUGAUGCCGUCGAGCCAAGAAAAGUUUCUAAGUUUAGCUAAUGUUGCCCGUACCGUAAACCGACACAGGUGGGUGGGAUGAGUAUUCUAAGGCGCGUGGAAGAACUCUCUUUAAGGAACUCUGCAAAAUAGCACCGUAUCUUCGGUAUAAGGUGUGGUUAGCUUCGUACUAGGAUUUACUCCGAAAGCGAAGAAACUUACAACAAAGAGUCCCUCCCGACUGUUUACCAAAAACACAGCACUCUGCUAACUCGUAAGAGGAUGUAUAGGGUGUGACGCCUGCCCGGUGCUCGAAGGUUAAUUGAUGGGGUUAGCAUUAGCGAAGCUCUUGAUCGAAGCCCGAGUAAACGGCGGCCGUAACUAUAACGGUCCUAAGGUAGCGAAAUUCCUUGUCGGUUAAAUACCGACCUGCAUGAAUGGCGUAACGAGAUGGGAGCUGUCUCAAAGAGGGAUCCAGUGAAAUUGUAGUGGAGGUGAAAAUUCCUCCUACCCGCGGCAAGACGGAAAGACCCCGUGGACCUUUACUACAGCUUGACACUGCUAUUUGGAUAAGAAUGUGCAGGAUAGGUGGGAGGCUUUGAGUAUAUGACGCCAGUUGUAUAUGAGCCAUUGUUGAGAUACCACUCUUUCUUAUUUGGGUAGCUAACCAGCUUGAGUUAUCCUCAAGUGGGACAAUGUCUGGUGGGUAGUUUGACUGGGGCGGUCGCCUCCCAAAUAAUAACGGAGGCUUACAAAGGUUGGCUCAGAACGGUUGGAAAUCGUUCGUAGAGUAUAAAGGUAUAAGCCAGCUUAACUGCAAGACAUACAAGUCAAGCAGAGACGAAAGUCGGUCUUAGUGAUCCGGUGGUUCUGUGUGGAAGGGCCAUCGCUCAAAGGAUAAAAGGUACCCCGGGGAUAACAGGCUGAUCUCCCCCAAGAGCUCACAUCGACGGGGAGGUUUGGCACCUCGAUGUCGGCUCAUCGCAUCCUGGGGCUGGAGCAGGUCCCAAGGGUAUGGCUGUUCGCCAUUUAAAGCGGUACGCGAGCUGGGUUCAGAACGUCGUGAGACAGUUCGGUCCCUAUCUGCCGUGGGCGUAAGAAGAUUGAAGAGAUUUGACCCUAGUACGAGAGGACCGGGUUGAACAAACCACUGGUGUAGCUGUUGUUCUGCCAAGAGCAUCGCAGCGUAGCUAAGUUUGGAAAGGAUAAACGCUGAAAGCAUCUAAGCGUGAAGCCAACUCUAAGAUGAAUCUUCUCUAAGCUCUCUAGAAGACUACUAGUUUGAUAGGCUGGGUGUGUAAUGGAUGAAAGUCCUUUAGCUGACCAGUACUAAUAGAGCGUUUGGCUUAUCUUUAAUAAAGCAU